rnacentral:rRNA from 1 species
UACGUAGGAGACUAGCGUUGUCCGGAAUUACUGGGUGUAAAGCGCGUGUAGGCGGCAUACCAAGUCUGUUGUGAAAUCGCCCGGCUCAACUGGGCGGGGUCAAUGGAAACUGGUAAGCUGGAGGACGGUAGAGGCGAGUGGAAUUCCCGGUGUAGUGGUGAAAUGCGUAGAGAUCGGGAGGAACACCUGUGGCGAAGGCGGCUCACUGGUCCGGUACUGACGCUGAGGUGCGAAAGCGUGGGGAGCAAACAGG